GCCGCUUUAGCUCACAUGGUAGAGCAACUGACUUGUAAUCAGUAGGUAAUUGGUUCGAUUCCGAUAAGCGGCACCA
rnacentral:tRNA from 1 species